rnacentral:lncRNA from 1 species
UGCAGGUCUCCAAGGGCGGUGCUUGGUAGAUCUGAUGAUGCCUUUUUCAGCAGUGAGCCUCCUGUCCAUGGCACAUUUUAAGCUCCCCCUUUCUACUUGUGCUGCUGGAAGUGGGACUGGAAGUGGGUGUAGGUCCUCUGAGGGUGGGGGUGAUGACUCUCUGCAGGGUGGGUGUACUGGUGCCACGACAAACAGUGAGCCUCCCAUCCCUGGAGGCAUUCAGGCCCCACUUUGUAAGCUGCGGUGGGGGUUGAAGGUUGGGGUGUAGUCUCUGAGGUGCCAGCUGUGCCUGUACCUAUGUGCCCUCCCUGCAGCCUGCACGUGGAAUGGGCGUCCCUGCAGCCUGUCUGUGCACAUCGACAAGGGCUUCACACUGUGGGCGGCUGAGCCAGGUGCAGCCCGAGCUGUGCUCCUGCGACAGCCCUUCGAGAAGCUGCAGAUGUCUUCAGAUGACGGUGCCAGUCUCCUUUUCCUGGAUUUUGGAGGUGCUGAAGGCGAGAUCCAGCUGGACCUGCACUCGUGUCCCAAAACCAUAGUCUUCAUCAUCCACUCCUUCCUGUCGGCCAAAGUCACCCGCCUCGGGCUGUUGGCCUAGAAGUCGCCGGAUGCACUAGCCCUGAAGAGGGGUGUCCAUGACAUGGCCUGAGCUGGGCCUCCACCGACUGCCUGCUCACCCCUGGGCUGAGGGAAGGGAGAGGAGAGGAACAAGGGCCUCCGAGACCCCACCCCUGAGGGAGACUGGAUUGGUCUUGGGGCCCAGGACCCAGACGCAGGACAGAGUGGACUCUGCCUGUGAUGGGGUGGCCUUCCUGCUGCCCCCCUCCACCAGUGCCUUUUGCAGAGAGAUAUUUUGUGUACACAGAAGCCAUUCCGAGUCUGGGACCUGCCCCUGUGCGGAUCCUGACCCCAGCCAACAGCUGAGCUGCCAGGCCUCCUCGAGGCCCCUAAGCCAUCCCCAGAGGUCCCAUCUGAAGCUGGAGUACCCUGGGGUCAGCAAAAGAGAAAGAAGAGGAGAUUUUCUGUUUGUUUUUCCCCUCAGCCCUGCCACCGUGGGGAGUCUGGUUUUUCUCUUCAUCCUCUCUCUCUCCUCCUUACUCUUGGAUAAAUAAACAGCCUGUGAGC